GCCAGACUCCUACGGGAGGCAGCAGUGGGGGAUAUUGCACAAUGGGGGGAACCCUGAUGCAGCGACGCCGCGUGGGUGAAGGAGCGUUUCGGCGCGUAAAGCCCUAUCGGCAGGGAAGAAGGAGGACGGUACCUGACUAAGAAGCCCCGGCUAACUACGUGCCAGCAGCCGCGGUAAUACGUAGGGGGCAAGCGUUAUCCGGAUUUACUGGGUGUAAAGGGGGCGCAGACGGCAGCGCAAGCCAGGAGUGAAAGCCCGGGGCCCAACCCCGGGACUGCUCUUGGAACUGCGUGGCUGGAGUGCAGGAGGGGCAGGCGGAAUUCCUGGUGUAGCGGUGAAAUGCGUAGAUAUCAGGAGGAACACCGGCGGCGAAGGCGGCCUGCUGGACCGUGACUGACGUUGAGGCUCGAGAGCGUGGGGAGCAAACAGGAUUAGAUACCCCCGUAAC
rnacentral:rRNA from 1 species